rnacentral:rRNA from 1 species
AUCGUACCCCAAACCGACACAGGUGGUCAGGUAGAGAAUACCAAGGCGCUUGAGAGAACUCGGGUGAAGGAACUAGGCAAAAUGGUGCCGUAACUUCGGGAGAAGGCACGCUGAUGUGUAGGUGAAGUCCCUGCGGACGGAGCUGAAAUCAGUCGAAGAUACCAGCUGGCUGCAACUGUUUAUUAAAAACACAGCACUGUGCAAACACGAAAGUGGACGUAUACGGUGUGACGCCUGCCCGGUGCCGGAAGGUUAAUUGAUGGG